UUUACUUAGCUUCAAUCCACAUUGUCUCAGAGGUUAAGAGAUCAAAUGGCUUAGAUGCAAGCGAGCACAGUUGAGCAAAUUGCUCAACUUAAAGCGGAGGCAGCAUCGAGAGAAGUAGAGGUUCAAAGAAAAUAUGAAGAACUCUAGCUACAACUUAAAGCGGAGGCAGCAGCGAGGGAAGCAAGGGAAGCAGAGCAAAGCAAAAAAUACGACGAACUCCAGCAACAACUUCAGAAUAUGCUGAAGAUGUUUCAGCAGUCACAGAAUCCACCAUCUUAGACGUUUGUUUUCUUAUUGUAAGAAUAUUUUAACAUUAUAACUUUUAACAUUAUUGUAAGAAUAUUUUUGUUAUUUCAUUUUUUAAUUUAGAUUAUAUAUCUUUCGUUGGAUUUUGAAA